rnacentral:rRNA from 1 species
UUGAACGCUGGCGGCAGGCCUAACACAUGCAAGUCGAGCGGAUGAAGGGAGCUUGCUCCUGGAUUCAGCGGCGGACGGGUGAGUAAUGCCUAGGAAUCUGCCUGGUAGUGGGGGAUAACGUCCGGAAACGGGCGCUAAUACCGCAUACGUCCUGAGGGAGAAAGUGGGGGAUCUUCGGACCUCACGCUAUCAGAUGAGCCUAGGUCGGAUUAGCUAGUUGGUGGGGUAAAGGCCUACCAAGGCGACGAUCCGUAACUGGUCUGAGAGGAUGAUCAGUCACACUGGAACUGAGACACGGUCCAGACUCCUACGGGAGGCAGCAGUGGGGAAUAUUGGACAAUGGGCGAAAGCCUGAUCCAGCCAGGCCGCGUGUGUGAAGAAGGUCUUCGGAUUGUAAAGCACUUUAAGUUGGGAGGAAGGGCAGUAAGUUAAUACCUUGCUGUUUUGACGUUACCAACAGAAUAAGCACCGGCUAACUUCGUG